GAGUGAAAUGAUGCUUUACCAUCUUUCGGGACUGACUCGAAAUGGAGAUAACAAUUUUUUUCACUGAUCACUC
ensembl:snoRNA